rnacentral:rRNA from 1 species
GCUCCAAGAGCAGGCGCGCAAAUUACCCAAUCCUGACACAGGGAGGUAGUGACAAUAAAUAACAAUACUGGGCCUUUUCAGGUCUGGUAAUUGGAAUGAGUACAAUCUAAACCCCUUAACGAGGAUCAAUUGGAGGGCAAGUCUGGUGCCAGCAGCCGCGGUAAUUCCAGCUCCAAUAGCGUAUAUUUAAGUUGCUGCAGUUAAAAAGCUCGUAGUUGGAUUUCGGGUGGGGCCUGCCGGUCCGCCGUUUCGGUGUGCACUGGCAGGGCCCACCUUGUUGCCGGGGACGGGCUCCUGGGCUUCACUGUCCGGGACUCGGAGUCGGCGCUGUUACUUUGAGUAAAUUAGAGUGUUCAAAGCAGGCCUACGCUCGAUACAUUAGCAUGGAAUAACACGAUAGGACUCUGGCCUAUCCUGUUGGUCUGUAGACCGGAGUAAUGAUUAAAGGGACAGUCGGGGGCAUUCGUAUUUCAUUGUCAGAGGUGAAAUUCUUGGAUUUAUGAAAACAACUACUGAAGCAUUUGCCAAGGAUGUUUUCAUUAAUCAAAACGAAAGUUGGGGGCUCGAAACGAUUAAUACCGUCCUAGUCUCAACCAUAAACAUGCCACUAGGAUCGGCGGAUGUUCUUCGAUGACUCCGCCGGCACCUUAUGAGAAAUCAAAGUUUUUGGGUUCCGGGGGAGUAUGGCGCAAGGCUGAAACUUAAAGAAUUAAGCACCGGCGUGCUGCGCUUAAUUUGACUCCACGGGAAACUUACACAUAGUGAGGAUGCGAUGACUCUCUGAUCUGGUGGGAGGCUCUAGGGGGCGUACAACCUGUAAUUGGUCCCUAGGACUUGGGACA